GAUUCCCCUAGUAACUGCGAGUGAAGCGGGAAAAGCUCAAAUUUAAAAUCUGGCGGUCUUUGGCCGUCCGAGUUGUAAUCUAGAGAAGUAAUGCCCGUGCUGGACCGUGUAUAAGUCUCCUGGGAUGGGGCGUCAUAGAGGGUGAGAAUCCCGUCUUUGACACGGACUACCAGUGCAUUGUGGUAUGCUCUCAAAGAGUCGAGUUGUUUGGGAAUGCAGCUCAAAAUGGGUGGUAAAUUCCAUCUAAAGCUAAAUAUUGGCGAGAGACCGAUAGCGAACAAGUACCGUGAGGGAAAGAUGAAAAGAACUUUGGAAAGAGAGUUAAACAGUACGUGAAAUUGCUGAAAGGGAAACGCUUGAAGUCAGUCGCGUUGGCCAGGGAUCAGCCUUGCUUUUGCAUGGUGUACUUUCUGGUUGACGGGUCAGCAUCAAUUUUGACCGCUGGAAAAAGGCUUGGGGAAUGUGGCAGCAUUGGCUGUGUUAUAGCCCCUGGUCACAUACAGCGGUUGGGAUUGAGGAACUCAGCACGCCGCAAGGCCGGGUUUCGACCACGUUCGUGCUUAGGAUGCUGGCAUAAUGGCUUUAAGCGACCCGUCUUGAAACACGGACCAAGGAGUCUAACAUGCCUGCGAGUAUUUGGGUGGAAAACCCGAGUGCGCAAUGAAAGUGAAAGUUGAGAUCCCUGUCGUGGGGAGCAUCGACGCCCGGACCAGAACUUUUGCGACGGAUCCGCGGUGGAGCAUGUAUGUUGGGACCCGAAAGAUGGUGAACUAUGCCUGAAUAGGGUGAAGCCAGAGGAAACUCUGGUGGAGGCUCGUAGCGAUUCUGACGUGCAAAUCGAUCGUCAAAUUUGGGUAUAGGGGCGAAA
rnacentral:rRNA from 1 species